GUUGCGACUUUAAACGAUGCCAACUGGCGGUUCGGCGAAGUCUCUCUGACGACUCGCUGAGCAGCCCCCGGGAAACCAAAGUCUUUCGGUUCCGGGGGAAGUACGGUUGCAAAGCUGAAACUUAAAGGAAUUGACGGAAGGGCACCACCAGGAGUGGAGCAUGCGGCUUAAUUUGACUCAACGCGGGAAAGUUCACCCGUCCCGGACACUGUCAGGAUUGACAGAUCAAGAGCUCUUUCUUGAUUCAGUGGAUAGUGGUGCAUGGCCGUUCUUAGUUGGUGGAGCGAUUUGUCUGGCCAAUCCCGAUAACGAACGAGACUCUGGCCUACUAACUAGUGACGGCGUGGUCUUUUCGCCGAGCACUUCUUAGAGGGACCAGCGGCGGUACAAAGCCGCACGAGAAAGAGCAAUAACAGGUCUGUGAUGCCCUUAGAUGGGCGGGGCUGCACGCGUGCUACACUGAUGGCAUCAACGUGCGUCCAAGCCUGACCUGUGAAGGUCAGGAAAUCGAUUGAAAUGUCCGUCGUGACUGGGAUAGGGAAUUGCAAUUAUUUCCCUUGAACGCGGAAU
rnacentral:rRNA from 1 species